AAAACUAUCAGGAAGAACGAUUCGUAAGGACUACAGUUUUCCACAUUGUAUUCAAAAAUUAAUUUCGCGUUUCCUGCAUUCUGGCAGCAUGUUGACAAGACCCUGAAAGCCCCCUUUCUUCAAAGAAUGUGACACCGAUUAAUCACCUACAUCAAUUCGGAUUUUUUUCGAAGAGGUGUAAUUGGUUACCUGGUGUCGGUGACAUAUUCUAGGUAACCCCUUUUGCUAACAAAAGAUAUGCUUGAUCAGUGAUCAGGACCCCGAGCACAUUGGAUUUUAUGUUUCCUGGGAAAAUGCAGUUCUAGCUGUUAUGAGGAUGGUGAACUGGCGAAAGCAGUAGACAAUGGUAGUCAACAUCAUGGAGACUCAGAAAAUUGUAUAUUGUAUGCAACAAAAAUAGAAUCAAACAUCAC
rnacentral:lncRNA from 1 species